rnacentral:lncRNA from 1 species
CCGCUCCUGGCUGAAGAAUCUCCCUCACGUGCCUCCACGUGACUUGCGGCUGCGCCCUGUGCCUGGGUCCAGAGCCCCUCUCCCACCUCCACGGUCCAGGCCUCCCUGCUGGGCUCCGGGAUGACCCGUGUUCACUGGGCGUGGGACCUUCCUGGCUGCCUGUGGUCCCUGCGGAGCCAAGCACCACGUCCCCCUGGUGGCCCGUCCCUUGUGUGUGGCUUGACCGUCUGUGGCAAAACCACUCGUGGGUGAUGUGGCCUGGGUGUCAGCCGUGGAAACAGGACUGCGUCAGGACCAGGCACCCAGCUACGCUGGCUGGAAUUCAGACAGAAGGAAACACCCACGCAGGAGGCUGCGUGUGGGCGGGGCGUUGGGACACUGUCACCGUGGGACAGCUCCUAGCCUGGGCAGAGUUCAGGUGAAUGGCGGGGUAGGCGUGGCCAUGGACAGGAAGCCCAUUCGCAGGCCUGCUGGGGGGCAACUUCCCGUGGAGGCUUCCGGGUGACCGGCCCAGUGCGCCCCAGCACAGACCCUCAGGCAAACCCCGGGAGGCGGAUGCUCGUGUCUCCGUCUCAGGUGAGCCACAGACCCCGGGACGGGCAGGGCCACUCAGGAGAGUGCACGGGCACCGCCUACACCGCUACCCACCAUCACUUCCCGUGGCGGGGCCCCGGCCUGAAGGCUUGCUGCGCCGUGACGUGGCGACGCGUCCUGAGCGGGCAGCCUGCUCGGCACAUCGCCGGGGCCACGCCUUUCACCCCUGCCGGCGAGCACUGGCGCAGCCAGCUCACAGCAGCCACAGGAUCAAAAUGUGAGCGUGCAGUACGGGACGGGGACUGCUGUCCUUCAAGUCGGGGUUGCCAAGGCAACAGGGGAUUUGGAAGGGACAGCCGAGCGACAUAUUUUGCAGGCAGGGAUCUGUGGUUAUUGGAGACUUCGUAGCUUGAAGUGCAGCAGGAGAUAGGCGUGCGUGGGGGCAGAACAGAGCAGCUGUGCUCGGGGAGGGCGGGGUCCUGGCGCGGCCCCUCUGCCAGCUGCCCCGGGGAAGUGGCACUGGCGGGGCCUCCUGGGCCCUGCAGCUCCCAAGGCCCUGCCCCACCUGAGUGCCGGUCGGCGGUUGAGGCACGUGGCCGAGGGUUCUGGCCUGGACCUCACCUCCUGGUGUCCACCCUCCAGCAUCUUCUCUCGCAGUGCAAAACCACGCAGCAGCCGGCACGGCCUCGAGUGGCGUGGACAGCGGUGGGUGGUCGUCCGUGUCCUUGUGAUGGAAACAAAACCUGGGCAGGCCGAGGUCAGCCAGUCGCUUUAGCUCUGCACCUCAGCGGCUUGAAGCCUGUCGGGAGAGCUCAAACGGGCCAUCAGCCUCAGGCUCACCGCGGCCCCUCUCGCAGAUGCUGGAAACUUCACGUUAAAACUGCAAAAUCAAGACCAUCGACCGUGGGACGAGCGAGGAAAACACACGCGUCACGGGACGGCGGCCAGCGGCCCGGAGACCGCCAGGGAGUGGCGCGGCUGCCUGGCUCCCCACCCGCUGGCCCCUGGGGCCGGGCUGACCUCGGGCACCUGCGGGUUCCCAGGCCCCCGCUCCUCCCAAUCGGAAACCCCGGGGCUGGGCCCUCACCGCUGGUCAGUGGCUUCCCUUCCCGGGAGCAAACCCAUGGCCCCCCCGGCCCCGAGCACCGGUGUCUGGGGCUGUGUAGUCACGGGCAGGUGCCUCGCCGGCGCGAGUGAAACCGACGACAGAACGGAGGGAAAAGCUGGUCCUCCGCUUCCCAACAGCGCAAGGUCUGCCCGCGGCUGACGGGGUGCGGGACACACGUGGAGUCCGGACACAGCGCGAAUGCCAGUGUCGCCGCCCAGGCUCUGGCUGCCGGGGACGAUGUCCUCCCCGGGCCCCUCGUCAGCCUGUAAAGUCCUGCUAAAGUCAGGUGUUCGGGCGAUGCGGCAGCCCUGAGACCCUUGACUGUUCUGAGCUGGUGCCAUGCGGCGACAGCCUGGGCGGGGGCUGGGUGGGGCCAGCGGCAUUGCAAGAAGUCGGUUCUGGGCGCCUUUGGCGAGCGGCGGGGACGCCUACACCGCUCAGAGCCGAGCCGAGCGGAAGUCCCCGCCUGACCUCAGCUCCCUCCUGAAGCCACUCUGGGAGGCGGCCGGCGAGGGCCAAGGAGCUGGGCCCCUGCCACCCGCGUGGGAGACCUGGACGGAGUUCCCGGCUCCUGGUCUGGCCUGGCCCAGCUCUGAACCAGCAAAUGGGCACUCGCUCGCUCACUCUCUCCCUCUCUCUCUUAAAUAAAAAAAUUAAAAAAUCCCA